rnacentral:rRNA from 1 species
AAGCUCGUAGUUGAAUUUCGAGACCGGCUUACUGGUCGUGCUUUUGUACGUACUGGUGUAAUCGGUUUCUCCUUUCUGACGAACUAUAAUGCCAUUAAUUUGGUGUUAUAGGGAAUCAGGACUGUUACUUUGAAAAAAUUAGAGUGUUUAAAGCAGGCUCACGCUUGAAUACAUUAGCAUGGAAUAACGGAAUAGGACGUUCGAUUCUAUUUUGUUGGUUUCUAGGAUCGACGUAAUGAUUAAUAGGGAUAGUUGGG